rnacentral:rRNA from 1 species
AAUGAACGCUGGCGGCAGGCCUAAAACAUGCAAGUCGAACGCCUGUAGCAAUACAGGAGUGGCGCACGGGUGCGUAACACGUGGGAAUAUGCUUAUUGGUACGGAACAGCUCCGGGAAACUGGAAUUAAUACCGUAUGGUCCCUUCGGGGUAAAGAUUUAUCGCCAAUAGAUUAGCCCGCGGUGGAUUAGCUAGUUGGUAGGGUAAUGUCCUACCAAGGCGACGUUCCCUAGCUGGUCUGAGAGGACGAUCGUCAACACUGGGACUGAGACACGGCCCAGACUGCUACGGGAGGAAGCAGUUAGGAAUAUUGGACACUGGGCGCAAGCCUGAUCCAGCCAGGCCGCGUGAGUGAUGAAGGCCUUCGGGUUGUAAAACUCUUUAGCCGAUGAAUAUAAUGACUGGAGUCGGAAAAUAAGCCCCGGCUAACUUCGUGCCAGCCGCCGCGGUAA